AGUGAACGCUGGCGGUAGGCCUAACACAUGCAAGUCGAACGGCAGCACAGUAAGAGCUUGCUCUUACGGGUGGCGAGUGGCGGACGGGUGAGGAAUACAUCGGAAUCUACUUUUUCGUGGGGGAUAACGUAGGGAAACUUACGCUAAUACCGCAUACGACCUACGGUUGAAAGCAGGGGAUCUUCGGACCUUGCGCGAUUGAAUGAGCCGAUGUCGGAAUAGCUAGUUGGCGGGGUAAAGGCCCACCAAGGCGACGAUCCGUAGCUGGUCUGAGAGGAUGAUCAGCCACACUGGAACUGAGACACGGUCCAGACUCCUACGGGAGGCAGCAGUGGGGAAUAUUGGACAAUGGGCGCAAGCCUGAUCCAGCCAUACCGCGUGGGUGAAGAAGGCCUUCGGGUUGUAAAGCCCUUUUGUUGGGAAAGAAAAGCAGCAGGUUAAUACCCCGCUGUUCUGACGGUACCCAAAGAAUAAGCACCGGCUAACUUCGUG
rnacentral:rRNA from 1 species